ACGUUGAAACAGCGAUUCCCGUACGAUCACCGAAGUUAAGCAACGUAGAAUCUGGUCAGUACCUAGUUGAGUGAUCCCUUGGGAAUACUAGCUGCUGCAAG